rnacentral:rRNA from 1 species
UACGUAGGGGGCGAGCGUUGUCCGGAUUUAUUGGGCGUAAAGAGCUCGUAGGCGGUUCGAUAAGUCGGAUGUGAAAUCUCCACGCUCAACGUGGAGGGGCCAUUCGAUACUGUCGUGACUCGAGUCCGGUAGGGGAGUGUGGAAUUCCCGGUGUAGCGGUGAAAUGCGCAGAGAUCGGGAGGAACACCCGUAGCGAAGGCGGUUCUCUGGGACGGUACUGACGCUGAGACGCGAAAGCGUGGGGAGCGAACGAGG